rnacentral:rRNA from 41 species
GUAACAAGGUCUCCGUAGGUGAACCUGCGGAGGGAUCAUUA